rnacentral:rRNA from 1 species
UACGUAGGGGGCGAGCGUUGUCCGGAUUCAUUGGGCGUAAAGAGCUCGUAGGCGGCUUAGCAAGUCGGGUGUAAAACCUCCAGGCUCAACCUGGAGACGCCACCCGAUACUGCUAUGGCUAGAGUCCGGUAGGGGACCACGGAAUUCCUGGUGUAGCGGUGAAAUGCGCAGAUAUCAGGAGGAACACCAGUGGCGAAGGCGGCUCACUGGCCCGGUACUGACGCUGAGGUGCGAAAGCGUGGGGAGCAAACAGG